AACCUCGCAUCAACGCACAAACACUGCGCGCGGGACUUAGAACGAAACGCGCACAACCAUCUCCGACAAAGCGUCGCGCUGUACUGGUGGUUUUGUACGCGUAGGAGGGGGGACAUACGGAGCGAUGGUUCGAUGCUGUAGUAUAAGCAAGACAACACGAUGUGACGAGCAGCUCCAAGUUGAGCUCGCUGAAAGAAGACACAUAUUCACAGACGGCUCGUCAACCCGGCAAACAAUGCGAGGGUUGGUGAGGUACCUCUCGCUCUAAUUUCUCUAGUCUAGUCUAGUUGCCUCGCUUCCUCCUAUAGCGAUUCUGUCGAGCUGAGCUUUCACGUCCCUCACCACCGAUCUCCUUCCUACCCCUCGCCUAAGAUCGUCUGACGUCUCGCCUGACACCUUUCGUUGUGUUGGUGCUAUGCGGCUGCUGUCACUGUAGAAGUCAGGUUGUGUGUGUGUAAAAAAACGUAAACAGUGUUGUUGGCUGAUCAAUUUUGGUAAGUUUUUUAAUAAUUAAGUUCUUAAUUUUACGUAAGUAAGUGCCAUUUUAGCUAAAUUAAGUGGUAGAAGUCCUGCCCAAUGCGUGCUGGCUCCGUCGGAAGCGGUACGUGCAUGUACCGGCGUAGGAAAGUGGUGUGGUGAACAACACAGCACAAGGCAACGGAUAUAAUGCAGAAACGAUAUGGGCCUGCGGCAGGUGUUUGCGACUGUGCGCUGUGUAUGAUUGUGUAUGAUACGCCAAUUUUCCUCUAUCCUGGAACGUGGGCUUACGAGGAACCAUUUAAGAACAUCCUCCGGAAGCUGUACGGCGACGAGUCGGGCUCUACCAGCACAACACGCUAGAGGCCCAGCCGGCACCGGGUGCCCCGAUUGCGCCGUGAGACGGUGUCGAGCGCGCUCGUUAACAACGUUCGGGGCAGGAAUUCAACCCUUCGGAUCUGCAUUAUCCGCUGUCCCACAAUAGCUGCAGCAGCAACAGGACCGAACCGACCGCACUACUGAUUGCGGUCAAAUUUCCUGGCAGGAGAAAAAACCCCACAAGUGUAUCGAUUUCAUCGACGGCCGCUCGCUGGCAGCACCAACAUGCCACCGAAUAACCCCAGAAAGGCGACAAACACUCAUCACAGUGGCGACAGUGGCAAAUUGUUAACGUGAACCCACUUCCGCCCAUCUACACGACAUCGCGUUAAUAGUGUUAUUGUGUAAAUUGUAAAAAAAAAUACGUUAAUGAGUUAAGAUUAAUCUUAAGUGCGCUUUAAGGCAUACAUCGAUAUGCCUAAUUUUAGGUUAAGUGUUUUGAAAUGCGCGUGUGUGCGAAGGGUCGAAAUGAGCGCUAAGCAAACUAAGCGGCCGCGUAGGGCCCCGUGGUCUUGAGGGGGCCCAAAAAAGGAACUCACCCCCCAUUCGCAAGUUAAAUUGCUAUUAAAUCCUUCACUAGUUUAGAAUAUUUCCCUGCUAGACGCUUAAACCAAUCUUACAUUUAUGUGACUGAUUAGGGCCUCCACUCGUAUGUGUGGGUUUUGCACAACAUUAAAGAUAAAUAAAUUUAGUUUAUAUUAUCAUAAAACACUACGCAUUUUUAAAGGGGGAAUGAACAUGAUGACAUAUAUUUAGUUUGUUAGAAGGUUUGUAUGCACGUUCACUAGUUUAUUUUAUCUGGAUUCUUUGCGGACUGCUUUUCGAAUGCGCAUGUCGCUUUGCCUCGUCUUGUGUUUUACAAACCCCAACAGCAAGGAUGCGGCUAGUCUAUCAUUGGAUUAACCUGGUGGAUCUGGUAGCUUGUAGCGCACCAUACUCGCCAGUCCGCGAUGGGUUGGCCAUGUCAUGGUAGUGAACGAUCCAGCCCAUAGUCGUUCGCAAAGACAGACAAAAGGAAGCUGUUCAUGGUGUGUCAAAAAAUGUGUAACAGAUGGUAGAAAAUGGGUACCUGCGGGUGAGAGAGUCUGUUUCUAAUGUUUUAUUAUCAGUUGGUGACACGUUCAAAUGGAUGUGCACAGAUCACGGCCCGAUCCUGAGGGCUCACCGUUGAAAAAGGCGCUGUCAGCGUGUGAUGUCCUCAAUGAGGAUCUUGACACGGAACCGAGAGUGGCCAUUCUCCCCCUCCCCCCGCAUGUGUUUUUGUAUGUGGCUUUCUUCUUCUUCUUCCUUAUGUAGGUGGCUUUAUAAUCAUGUUUUAAAAGAAAUAAACCAAAGAGCUGUUGAACGACGUUUAUGCGUUGUUUUGUCGCACAUUUUGUGUAAUUUUUUAUGCGGACACGGAAAUAAAAAUGAACUGGAUGCAUUUCAGAUGUAAGGGUUGUAAAUAAAGGAUACAUACAGUGGCGGAUUAAGGGUAUCGGGGGCCCUAGCCGGUAAGACGAAUUGAGGCCCCCUGUAAAUGGUAAAUGGUGGGCCGGGAGGAGGGGGGGGGGGUGUUAGCGGCAUUAAACUGGCUGUUGGGAAUUUGAACGCCGUCGGGGGGCCCUACGAUCAUCAGUCACAGGCUCUAAAAUUGAUUCGCCAGCCUCGGGGCCCCAACGUCCAUCCUUCCGGGGGCCCUUGUCGCUAGUACUCUGUCCAUACGGCAUACUAUAGAAUGGCGAUCUACGGGGUCCCUUAAUCGGCGGGGCCCCAGGCGACCGCCUAGUCCGCCUACCGUUAGAUCCGCCACUGGAUACAUAAAGGAUGAUAAUAUCAUGCCCGUCAUAGGUUCAAGCCUCAUAUAGACGGUCCCCUCGUAGUAAGGACUGGCCAGCCGGGUGUGUGGUACUAAAAAGACGCAAAAGCU